GGGGAUGUAGCUCAGUGGCAGAGCGCCUGCUUCGCAUGUGGGAGGUCCUGGGUUCAAUCCCCAGCAUCUCCA
rfam:Pygoscelis adeliae contig8122, whole genome shotgun sequence.